rnacentral:lncRNA from 1 species
CCCAAAAAACCGAAGAUAUAUGUUCAAGCAGCGUCUGUUUCGAUUGAUCUUUUGCUGCGCCAAAAAAGCGCCCGAGGAGAAAAAAAACUUCUGUCAUCAUUUAUUUCGCUCCGGUACCCCGUUUUUUCAUACUCUUCCCUUUCGUCUUGGUCUGACAGACCAAAGGAUGAAGCCCCAGAGGACAACGAAACCAGGAAGGCAGGAGGGGCGGGGGGCAGCGGAGAGAAAAAAUUUACAUGAAACGCGUUUCUCCUCGCGAGUGUUUCUUCCAGCUCUGGCUGCAUACACGUGAGCCUGACAUAAAUUGAAACGUCAGGAGAGAGGAAGAUGGGGAAGAGAGUGAGAGAGAGAGAGCGAGAGCGAGAGAGCAGGAAGAGCACGACGGGGGGAGAAUUGUGCGUGGAAGUUGGUCGCCCAGAAGGACUACCGUUUCGCUCACAUGUCAUCGAAGCAAACGAAGAAAGAGACAGAGAAAUUUAACGUUGAAGUUCAUCAGUCAUUCCCACGGACAUGGAAUCAUUGCAAGAUAUCUCCACUCCCAGCUUCAUAUCUCGAAAUAGUUUGCUUCAACGAAGAUUCGGUUUGAACGACAGAAACCGUCAUGCGGCGACGAUCGCAUCGACGUCAUUGACGGUCAAAGUUUUCCGACGACCCCGGAAUGUUCCCUCUCCGUACCCCUGGCCGGGUCAAAGACUUGAGAUUAUGACAGUUGGCGCGCUCUUCUGUGAAGUUGAAUCGCACAAUUUGGUGAAAAGAACUCGAAUUUACGAUGCGGCAAACGGAAGAUCGAAAGCUCAACGGAUGCGUUUAAUACGAUGAUCCGUCGACUAUUGAAAUCCACGUAUCUUAAUGCAGAUCAUGUCUGUAGGCUAAAACACUAUAGUUUUACGUAAAAAAUCAACAAAGAGAAAGAAAUGGAUCGAGAGAAAAAAGUGUUAAUAAAAAGACAGAUGGCGAUGACAGGAAUGAGCCGAGCCAAGAAGAAACAAAAUACCGAAAUGAGCAAAUGUCACGUUAUCAAAGAAAACCGUAAUUUGGGGCGAUCAAGAUGAAAGGAACAUUAAUGAGUGUGAAAAUAAAUAAAAAAAAAAUAAAAAAAAAACAAUUAUUUGUAGGAUUCCAAGCGAUCCUGGUCGACUGAAAUGUUGAUUUCUCUCGAGCCUGCUGUCAGCAUCGCACUUUUACGAAAACACAAAUUAAGUUUUCAGCUAAAGUUGCGUGCUCACCUGGAAAUAAUCGAAUUGACGAAGAGAUCAAUUUCGAUAGGAACAACAAUUAUUUGAGAGAAUAAUGAGAGCGACGAGUCGACAAAAGUUUCUGCGUCGGAGGAUGCGAUAAGUGCGAAAAUCGACGAAGAAAAAUGAAGAAUGUGGAGACUUUCGCGUAGCCGACUUAUCGUCGGGCACAUGCUGAGAUCGCGAGCAAAGACUGGCGAUGGCGCACAUGGAGUGCCAGAUGGUCCGCAAACGUUUCAUUCCAUACGUUUGAUGUGCGGAUAUAAUGCGAAAGGAAUGAAAUUCGUGAGUCUGCGCGCAAGUAUGCGAUGCAAAAAUCGUCGGUUGUUAUGAAAACAAAUGUAUGUGCGCACACACGUGCUCUUUAUUGCGACGCUCCAAUUUACACGAGAAAGCUCUUCUGAUGCACAUUCGUAAAUGAAAUUCACGCAUCAAUAAAACAUCUUAAAUUGUCCGGAAUCGCUGAGACAACAUGGAGCUUUUCAAUAUGUUCAAGUACGAACAUUAAGAAACGACUUUCACAUUAUUAGUAGAGAAAGGUAAAGCGAAAGAAACUGACCAAAUUAUUGAUGAAUAUAUUGUGCAAAAAUAAAGAAAAACGUACAUUAAAAACAAAGGAGUUAAUCAAAAUACACAACUAAUUUUUUAUCACUUUUACUUUACUCACUUUUCGUACAGAAAAAUGGGGGGAAGACAGGUCCAAAAAAAAGAUGGGUGUGCUCAUCUGCUGAUAAAAUCUGUGGAGUGG